rnacentral:rRNA from 1 species
CCUACGGGUGACAGCAGUGAGGAAUAUUGGUCAAUGGCCGUAAGGCUGAACCAGCCAAGUCGCGUGAAGGAAGAAGGAUCUCUGGUUUGUAAACUUCUUUUAUAGGGGAAUAAAGGUAUCCACGUGUGGAUAUUUGCAUGUACCCUAUGAAUAAGCAUCGGCUAACUCCGUGUCAGCAGCCGCGGUCAUACGGAGGGUGAGAUGGUUAAUCGGAAUUACUGGGCGGAAAGCGUUCGGAGGAGGUAUGCCAAGUCAAGGGUGAAACCCACGCGCUCAACGUGGGAACUGCCUUAGAAACUGGCAAACUGGAGUGUGUGAGAGGAUAGUGGAAUUCCAGGUGUAGGAGUGAAAUCCGUAGAUAUCUGGAGGAACAUCAGUGGCGAAGGCGACUAUCUGGCACAUAACUGACGCUGAGGAGCGAAAGCGUGGGUAGCAAACAGGAUUAGAUACCCUUGUAGUC